rnacentral:rRNA from 1 species
CCUACGGGAGGCAGCAGUGGGGAAUAUUGGACAAUGGGCGAAAGCCUGAUCCAGCCAUGCCGCGUGUGUGAAGAAGGCCUUCGGGUUGUAAAGCACUUUCAGUGGGGAAGAAAGCCUUGGGGCUAAUACCCUCGAGGAAGGACAUCACCCACAGAAGAAGCACCGACUAACUCCGUGCCAGCAGCCGCGGUAAUACGGAGGGUGCGAGCGUUUAAUCGGAAUUACUGGGCGUAAAGCGCGCGUAGGCGGUCUGAUAAGCCGGUUGUGAAAGCCCCGGGCUCAACCUGGGAACGGCAUCCGGAACUGUCAGGCUAGAGUGCAGGAGAGGAAGGUAGAAUUCCCGGUGUAGCGGUGAAAUGCGUAGAGAUCGGGAGGAAUACCAGUGGCGAAGGCGGCCUUCUGGACUGACACUGACGCUGAGGUGCGAAAGCGUGGGUAGCAAACAGGAUUAGAUACCCGAGUAGU